AAUCAACGCUGGCGGCGCGCCUAACACAUGCAAGUCGAACGAGAAAGCAGGAGCAAUCUUGUGAGUAAAGUGGCGUACGGGUGAGUAACACGUGGAUCAUCUACCCUCUUGUGGGGGAUAACCCUGGGAAACCGGGGCUAAUACCGCAUAAGUCCGAGAGGAGAAAGCAGCAAUGCGCAGGAGGAGGAGUCCGCGGCCGAUUAGCUAGUUGGUGGGGUAAAAGCCCACCAAGGCAACGAUCGGUAGCCGGCCUGAGAGGGCACACGGCCACACUGGCACUGAAACACGGGCCAGACUCCUACGGGAGGCAGCAGUGGGGAAUCUUGCACAAUGGGGGCAACCCUGAUGCAGCGACGCCGCGUGAGCGAUGAAGCCCUUCGGGUGUAAGCUCUUCGGCAGGGAAGAUUAUGACGGUACCUGCAGAGCAGCUGCGGCUAACUACGUGCCA
rnacentral:rRNA from 1 species